UGGGAGUGAUUUCUUAUUAAUAAAGAAACUGCCUUGGCCCAUUUUAUUGGAUAGAAAAUUAGGUAGGCGGAGUAGACAGAGGAGAAUGCUGGGAAAAAGAAGCUGUGUGAGGAGUCGCCAUGGUUCUCCCGCUCCAGACAGACGCAGGUUAAGAUCCUCCCUGGUAAGCCAGCUCGUGGGCUACACAGAAUAUUAGAAAUGGGUUAGAACAAUAUGUAAGAGCUAGCCAUAAGGAACUGGAACUAUCCGGGCCAGGCAGUGUUUGAAAGAAUACAGUUUCCGUGUAAUUAUUUCUGGGCAUAAGCUAGCCAUGCGGGCGGCCGGGUGCCGGGGACGCAGCCCUGCUGCCGCUCCUAUUUCAACAGAUGGCGCCCAGACGUGAUGGCUAAAUCCACUUAAAAACCUGAGAAGGCUUAAAAAUAAGGGAGAGAGAGUUUAACACAGAUUUUUGCUGUUUUGUUGGUGGCGUUCUGUAGAGAGAUUCCUGAUUCAGCAACAGCAAAAAAAAAAAAAAAAAAAAAAAAAGCCGCGUCAUUUUAAAGCGCUGCUUCCUGGGGCUGUGCUGCCAGCGUGAACUCUGGCUUUAAAGCAUUUCAAGGCUUUUAUGGGACUGGAUGUUUGUGUUCCCGCUUGGGAUCGGAGGAGAGUGCUCUGAGACUGUGCCGAUGGCUCAGCGCUUCCCGCCUGCACCUGGGCAGACGGCAGAAUCAGGCUUAGGCAGGCGGAAGAGCAUGGCGGAUUCCUGCCGCUAUACAGAGACGCAUUUUCAGACUGCGCAGUGCUCUGCAUGUCAGAUUUGGCUGUAACUUGGAUGAAAAGAGUUUCUGUGCUGCACACUCAGUCUCAGAGUUAAACUGCUGAGUGCGGCUCCAAUGUGGACUUGCUGUGUGCCUGAAACUGUGAAUGGUUCAGGGGCACCAAAUGACUCUGAGGCAGGAGCGGCUGCUCCAUGCUGAACUGUGCUGAUCUCAGGCAGGAACUACCGUAAUUACCUUAAAACCGUGCAGUUAAGGUUUAGACUGGGCAGGACACAGGCAGUACCGUAUUACCUGUAAAUGGUGCAACUUAAGUUUUUAAGAAAUGCUUAACAUUUUAAGAAAUGCUCCUGUAUAGUAAAGAAAUUACAGAUUCACAAUAAAACAGAUUCAGACACUGUUGGAUAAAUGUACGUAGGCUUGGGAAAGAGAAGAAAAAGAAUAUAAAGAAUAAAGUUAAUGUCUUAAAAAGAAAAAGGGUAAAGUCUUUAAAGAGACAGAGUACAGAAGUACAGAGAGUUAUAGAUUAAAAGAAAUAAAGAAAUAUAAGCCACGUAAAAAUGGAAAAUUCACAGAGAGUCUGGAUUAUGUACAUUGUGUUUUCUUUAAAAUUUUUGACUGUGAAGGAGCUAAGUACAGAGAGACAUUUCAUUACAUGGGCUGCCAAUCUAAACCAAAAUGGAUAUAAGGGUAUUAUGAUUUCAGAAUUUGGGUCUAAGGAUAUGAUGCUUUGGAGAGGGUCUUCUUUUGUUUUUGCAGAGGAUGAGACCCUGUGGAUUGCAUCUAUUCCGAUUUGGUAUGAUAGACCACGCCCUCCUGAAAGGUUGCUGUGAAUACCCUCAAAAAAUUGCUUCGCUCAAUUGCCAACUGAGAUGAAACUAGCAUACAGGUUAUAUCAUGAACAACCUAAUUAACGACGCCCCUAUUCAGCAGGAAGCAGUUUGUAGAGAAAAAACUACGCCCAUGUUCCCAAAUAUUGUUUAUAAAUGUUCUUUUACAUUUAAAGGGGGAUAUGAUAUAGAUAUGAAUAAUUUGCAUUGGUAUGGAUUUUAUGGUCAAUUUUGUUAUAUGUAUAUGUAUUUUUGAUCUUGAUUAAGGUAUUGUGAUUGUGUAGUUCAUUUAAAAAUGUAAUGUAUAAUUAGGAAAUAUAGGUUGUUAAUGGAUAAUCAUCGCUAAUACUUAAGCUUGUAGUCAUGUUAGUUAGAUUUUCUAGAUAUAUAGAGAGAUAUUUUAGUUAGAUAGGCAUUCUUCAUAUCUUUCAAAGGCUGCAGAAUAUGGCAUUUAAGAUAUUUUAAUAACUUAGGGUUUUUCAUGACAAUGAGACACAUUUGCUCCUGGCAGCACCAAUCUAUUUCAAGAGGAAGAUGGGCAUCGAAGAGAAUCCUUAUGGAGUUUGAUAGCCAUUUGGGCAAGAAACUGCUCUUGCCUGGACUGUUGCAUAAACUGGACACAGAGAACCCGCAGAGAGAGGACUGCUGAACUUGCCUAAAGGUGAGAUGACCUUUUGGGGUUCCUGCUUCAUGAAAGAGUCUGUGAGACAUUCUGCAGGACACAGCAAAAAGUGACUGAACUGUCUUUGGAAUUUCUUGCUUGAUGAGAAUGUCUGCUGGAUACUAUGGGCCUGUAGGCCGAAGAUGGAUGCCCCAACGGUACAGAGGAACUUUGGGUGACUGUCCAGGCAGCGAGAUGUCUCUGUCAUUUCUAGAGUUUUCUUAUUUCUUGUUUGAUAGGUAAUAUUAUAUCCUUCUGGAGUCUUUGAUGGAGUUGAAGAAUGGUUAGUUAUAGUUUUCCUUAGUUAUGAUAAGAGAUAAAAUAGAUAUAAAUAUUGUAACUGUAAUUCUUACUUGAUAACUGUUUUGUUAUAUGUAAUUUUACUAUGUUAAAGUUAAAGCCUUUCUUUUUUGUUUAAACAGAAAAAGGGGAAAUGAUGUGGGAGUGAUUUCUUAUUAAUAAAGAAACUGCCUUGGCCCAUUUUAUUGGAUAGAAAAUUAGGUAGGCGGAGUAGACAGAGGAGAAUGCUGGGAAAAAGAAGCUGUGUGAGGAGUCGCCAUGGUUCUCCCGUUCCAGACAGACGCAGGUUAAGAUCCUCCCUGGUAAGCCAGCUCGUGGGCUACACAGAAUAUUAGAAAUGGGUUAGAACAAUAUGUAAGAGCUAGCCAUAAGGAACUGGAACUAUCCGGGCCAGGCAGUGUUUGAAAGAA